rnacentral:rRNA from 1 species
AACGAACGCUGGCGGCAUGCCUAACACAUGCAAGUCGAACGAGUCCUUCGGGUCUAGUGGCGCACUGGUGCGUAACUCGUUGGAUCCUGCCCUUAGGUUCGGAAUAUCUUCCCGAAAGGGGUCCUAAUACCGGAUCUUGUCUUCGUUCCAAAGAUUUAUCGCCUUUGGAUGGGCCUCCGUUGGAUUAGCUAGUUGGUAGGGUAAAAGCCUACCAAGGCGACGAUCCAUAGCUGGCCUGAGAGGAUGAGCAGCCACACUGGGACUGAGACACGGCCCAGACUCCUACGGGAGGCAGCAGUGGGGAAUAAUGGACAAUGGGCGAAAGACUGAUCCAGCAAUGCCGGGUGAGUGAUGAAGGCCUUAGGGUUGUAAAGCUAUUUUACCCGGGAUGAUAAUGACAGUACCAGGAGAAUAAGCACCGGCUAACUCCGUG